UACUAUAUCAGACCAGAGAUAUACAGUAUUCUCAAUGAUUAAGUAAUAACCCUGCUUGCUGAUUGACAGAUGCUUUAGACUCCCAUUUUUAAAAGGUUAAGAGGAGCACAGAGGCUAGGAGAGGGUGGAAGAGUGAACAGGUUGGAGGCAAGACGGGUCACAAAGUCACACAGAAGGUUGAGCCUUAGAUGGGCCCACAGCACAGGUGAGCCCCACAGAUAGUACAUUCUCCAAUUCUACCCUCCCCUCCCCCCCUGCUUUUUUUGAGAGAGAGAGUGAGCUCACAGGUCCUAAGGGGCUCUGCUCAUUUGAACUCUGUUAAACUCCUGAUUGUUUGCACUGUAGGAGACCACGCUCCAAGCUGAAGGGGAAUAUAGGUAGGAUGUGGUCUAGGGCAUCAGGCUUAGAUUCUCUGUGUAGAGGACUCAGCAAGUGCUGUUUCCCACAUGGCUGUGGCCUGGGUCCCAGUGGAGGGGGUGGGCCUGGGUCCCUCUAUCAUGCUUUGCUUGAGAGGUAGCCCCUGAGGCAGGCUGACACUGUCAUGUCUCCAAUCAAGGGCAGGAGCCAGGCAUCUCUACCUGCCAUCCCUUUUUUGGGGAGAAAGACUAGAAACCAGGCAUGCUAACCACUAGGUCAUCUGGCUCUCUGAACAUCCCAUUACAUCAGUAUAUUUUACACUUGACAUAUCUCAGUAUUUUACAAGCCAAUAAAUGGCUGCCAUUAAAACUCAGCCUUUGUUGACGGUCACCAUAUAGUGAUGUCUGAGAUGACAUAGUUUUUUCCAUUCUGCAAAGUGAAAUCCAGAAGUAUUUCGGUUAUCACUGGGGAUUACUGCAGGUAAUUAGUUGUUUUUUAAUGAUGGCCAGAGGUAAAGGUGGUUUCUCUGUAGAUAACUACAUUGGCAAUUAUACAUGCACAAGAGCUCAUACAGAGCAUUAGGACCUGUUCAACUGAGAGUGGUUUUCAUCAAGACACUGGAAUUAGCCUCUUUUUUUUUUAUAAAGGACCAUAGACUUUCUAACCUCAUGGAAACAGUUCUUUCACAGAGGUUUAUGGAAUCCUUGAUCUUGCAGUGGAAUUCCCCUGAAAUCCUCCUCCUUCUGGCCUAGAUCAUAACUAUUAGGAUCCAACAGAGCCUUUCUUGCAUGAGCUUUGGAUCUUUUUUAUUAAUUGGGUCAAUUUGAGUACUCCUAUUCUUUUUAUAAUUAAAGAAAUUCCAAUCUGGGAAACACCCUGGCAGAAUUUCUUCACAGCUGGUCAUGAUUCAUGGAUUCACUCACCAUGCCUGAUGAGUUGGCUUAUAAGGUUGAUGACACUAUCCAGAUGGCCUGAAGAUGAUUAUAUUGCUAGGACAAAUCGAUAAAUGGAGGAAGAAUUUUAGGGAGUUGAGCUACAGCCUGCUUUGUAUGGUGGUGACUGGAUCCACUGCUAGUCUUUCCAUUUUUGUGGGUCUUUAGUUAAAGCAAAAUCUAUAAGAUCUUCAGGGUAGGCAUUGUGCCUACCUCUGCACAUUGCCUGGCACGCUGCUGUAAUGAAAUAUUAAAUGGGCACUUAUUACAGUCUUGGAUAAAAAUGAGAAAAGUUCCUACUGAUGCAAUCUAUGCAUUUGUGGAAUAGGUUUUUAAAUGAAUGCUGGAAACUGCAUUGUCUAAGUCAUUUAAAACAAAUGUGAAUACAAAUGUAAAUAUGGGUUUAUGAUGGGGUGGACUAGGCCAAAAGACCCCCUGCUGUAGGCCUCAGGGUUCUGCCACACCCAUCCCAGGGAAGGAGCAGUGGAGAGGUCCUCCAAGCAGGCUAGAGUGGCUGCAGAGGAAGGAGCCAAUCAGGGCCCAGGAGGGCCAUAUAAAAGGAGCUGCAAAGCAAAGAAGUAGUCAGUUUCUGCUUGCAGCAAGAGAAGAAAGGACUGCAAGCCUGGCUGCCUGGAAGAGCAGCAGGGCCAUGGAUGGUUUGCUAGCAGGGACUGGGGUCAGAUUCUACAACUUCUCUGCACCUGAACUUCCAGUGAAUUCAAUGGGAGUUCUACAUGGACGGAGCUGACAGGAUGGAGGCAUCUGAUUCAUGACAGAAGUGAAAUCUGCUCCUUAAUGUUUCUUUGAGUCUCUCUCAGUGUGAUAUAAUGAAUAAAAGGCUGCUUCAGCAGGCUGCAGUGUCACGACAGAAGAAAAGAAAAAAGGAGAAAAUAGGAUUACUCGAAAAAAGUUAUGAACCUUCCCCCAAGGGCUGAAAAUUCCGUUUGAUGUACUGACAAAAUAAAGUGAGGAUAGCUACUACAAAAAGAAUAGGACACAAUUUUUCUCAACAUGAAUAGCUUAAUGCAGAGGUAGUCAGUUAUGUUUUGUCAAGGUCCACAUUUCUUGGUCAAGGUAUAGUCAAGGUCCAGACUCCAGAGAAACAUUUUUCACUCUGCAAGUGCCCCAUGUUCAAGUAACACAUACAAUGCUGUGCAUGAGUAAUAUACCCUAUUGCUUAUGUUUUUAGUGCAUUAAAUGAAAAAUAAAAUCAAACCACUGUAUAACCUAACAAUAACCUCCAGGAGAGAUGUAAUUUAUUACAUCUCAGACUUUGAGAAAGUACAUAGAUAAAAUGUCAAAUAGAUGCAAAUAUUAGUAUUAAAACACUUGCAGAUAACUGUUUUAAGUUUUUGAAUUUGUUUUGAGUUUACAAAGAGUAUUAACUUUGGUUUUCGCAAAUAAAAUUAUUGUAGGCAUAUGGGUAUAUAGAUAAACAUAUUUGAAACUUUCAAGCCUUUUGUGGCUUAUUUACUAUUAGUACCAGAGUUUGAAAGUAAAUAACAAUUAGUACACAUGAACUCUCUGUCUUGCUUUAGGAUUCAAAUCUUUUCAAUAACAAAUACACAUCCACAUACGUAUUAAGCAAAAGAAUCAUGAAUAAUUACUGUGAAAUACCUGUUAAAACUGUAGUAUCAUUACUGAAAAUGUAAUUGUACAUGGCAAUACAAUUUUAAAAUAAAAUAUGCACAAAUAAUGUAUAGUUAUAAUACCAUCAGUAGGAAAAGUGACAGGUCCUCUGCUGGACAAAGGCCUUGAAGUUUGGAGUGAGUUCAGUCAAGUCAAGAUGGAGGCAAUUGCAUAGAUGAUUAUCAGUCAAUGGAGUGAUUACAUGAUUUACUGUUCAUUGUUGAGAAUGUUGACUCACACAUGUAUGUCAAGCCAAACAUAGUCAAAAUGUUAAUUGCCACCUUCCUCAUGUGAGGGUACAUAGAGUCCAGCACUAGGGUUGUAGAGAAAGUUUCAGAUGUAGUUUCAGUGCACCUCAUCUUAAGCACUUCAUCCACUUAUAAAUCAGUAAGCUACAGUUAAAGUUUUGCUUUUCUGACAUCUGGAAAGGAUUCUUUUGCUUGAUCACACCAGGUGCCAUUUUCUUGUACCACAAAUGGGUUCCUUACAAACAGGAAGAUGUCUUUAACACUUUAAAAUUCUUGGAACCUCUGCUGGAAGUUUUGAAGAAGCCUGUCCAGAGAUGAUGCCAUCUGAUUUGUAUCUGCAGUGUUCUGGAAGCUUAGCAACAUUGGGAAAUGCAGCAUCUCCCCAGUUUCCAAACCACUUUUGAAGAGACUCAGUUUGUUUUGAAAUGAAGUGACACUGCUGUGGAGAUCUACUACAUGCGAUUUCACCCCGUUUUAGCUUUAAGUUGAUAUAAUUUAAGUGACCUGUCAAAUCAACAAGGAAGGCUGGAUGUUUAUGCUUGUGGCAUCCCUCAAAAAUGAGUGUAACUCUCCUGUCUUUUCCCCUGGAACUUUAUGUAGAAAUCCUUCCACAUGAACUUAAAUUUCCUGCAGCCUUCUUAGUAUUUGACUUCUGCAGAGCCAGCGGAUGUCAUUAUCAACAAACAGCUCAUCGUUAUCAGCAGAUACCUCUGAAAGAAAGCUGUCUGUGUGGCAGUGGUGUCUUGGACCAAAGGAACUUGACAAGUUUAAUCACCAUUGACAUUACAUUAACAUACUCCUCUCUAAGGUUUGUACAAAGUGCAGUUUGGUGGGUUACACAGUGAUAGGUUUCAGAGUAGCAGCCGUGUUAGUCUGUAUCCACAAA